rnacentral:rRNA from 1 species
UACGUAGGGGGCAAGCGUUGUCCGGAUUUAUUGGGCGUAAAGAGCUCGUAGGUGGUUCGGUAAGUCGGAUGUGAAAUCUCCAGGCUCAACCUGGAGGGGUCAUUCGAUACUGCCGUGACUAGAGUUCGGUAGGGGAGUGUGGAAUUCCUGGUGGAGCGGUGAAAUGCGCUGAUAUCAGGAGGAACACCCGUAGCGAAGGCGGCACUCUGGGCCGAUACUGACACUGAGGAGCGAAAGCGUGGGGAGCGAACAGG